GAAAAGAAAGAAAUAAAAUAAAAUGACAAACCAAAGUCAAUUUUAUAUCACAAAAGAAGAAGAAAAAAAAAAAUAAUAAAAGCCCACCUGGUUGAAUUCUCAGGAACUCAUCAUCGUCAUCGUCAUCAUCAUCAACACAAUUCACCACUCUUCUUCAACUAACACAUAUCGGGUAUUGAAAGUCAACAAAAAAAAAAAUGAUGACAUGAUAUUCCCAAAGAGAAGCAUCGCCAAUCCCAACACUGUCAUUCUACCAGGAACCCAUCAGAAACCAUUUCUUCGUCCACGCCCAAAAAGUUGACUGGUGCACCCAGGGUUUGGAAAGUUUAUAGUCUCAAUGAAAAACCUAUUCAAAACCAUUUGCAAGAAUUAAUGUUUGCAGAAAACGACGACAAAAAGAAAAAAAAAAACACUAAAAAUUAUUAUGAAUUUUCUUCAUCUCCCCAGAAAAGAGGACGAAUCAUUUUAUACAGCAGCAAGUUGUAUGAUAUGUCGCUCAGCAAGCAGCAUUUAACCGCACACUCUAGAACUUCAAGUCAAGUUUUCCAUUUGCUGCUAUACUACCAGCCAUUGUUUCCUCAGUCGUACAGUCCAACCAACUGUCCAGGAGUAGUAUCUUUCGCGUUCCACAAAUGGAAAACUAUACAUCCCGUCUGACGAUUUUCUCUUAGAAAUGCCAGCCAUUUCUAGACUCAUACUCUUCAAGAAGGAAUUAUAUAUACAAACUAUAUGGCAUCGAAUGAAACGAAAUCAAAUGAAAGGAAAGGAAAACUUUUUCCCUAACAAAACGUCCCAGAUAUUUCAUAAUGUCAACGUGGCAGAGUAGUGUGAUGGUUGGUGGUGCUGGUUCUAUUUGCAAUUUCUAGAAGAAGAAUAACCACGACCGGAACAAAAACCGACAACGAGUGAUUUCCAAAGAGUUCCUCUGCUGCCGAGUUGAAAACCAGGCACACUGGUUGUUCCAGUAACAGCGGCAGUUCCAUCUUCUUCGUCGUCGGUCGUCGUCUUCCAUUUUUGAAAACACUGGCUGGCUGCACCAAAAGAGAGCGAAUGAAAUACUAGCUGUCGGAAAUAAAUCAUCACAGAAAUUACCAAACAGACUUUCAGCCACCAAAAUAUGGGUGACGGUGAAUUGGUGGUUGGUUGGGUUGAAUGUUUCCAAGCCAAUACCCAGGACUGAGGAGGUUCCCAAACCUAGACCAUCAUGUCGCACAGGAACAAACCAUCCACAGUAAUCAAGAGUAUAAAUUCCUUUUGCCCCAAAAAAUGGUGGAACAUAUUUUUCUUUGUCAUUUUCGAAAAUUCAUUUUUAAACUGUGUGUGUGGCUUCAACUUCAGGUUGGGAAAAUAAAUCGCUGUUGAUGACCUCAAGGGAGAUGAACGGCUGUUUUAGCCACUUUUUUUUGGCAACAAAUUUUCU